ensembl:lncRNA
CAUGGAAUGGAUGAUUUAAGACAGCAGAGAAACUAUUCAGGAGGAAGUUCAGGAGAGAGAGGCAUCACAGAAACAACGAUUUCUACUACUAGAAUUACAUCUUUACCUCCACGAGGCUACAGUGCAUCCGCCAACAAGGGCAUGUCAAGCACCUCUGGGUCUGCUGGCCUGGAGAAGAACAUUUUGACUCCGAGCAACGGCAGUUCUUUUUUCUCAUCCUCAUCUUUGGGUGUGAGUGCAGGUGGGUUAGGCUCUGGAUCAGGGGAAUAUCUGGCAGAGGAGACAACUGUGAGCAGGAAGACAGGUGGUGUCUCUGGAUCGGGAACAGGGUUGAGGGUAAGAUCCAGCUCUACUGAUGGCAUGAGAAGAACACAAGACUCCCCUCUGUUUGUGGAGAGGAAAAGCAAAACUACUCAUUCACGUCGUUAUGAUGGAAGUUCAAGUGACAACUCAUCCCCAGAAAUAAAAAGAAAAGACUAUGGUAAGACCCUCAGCCAAAUAAUAAUAAUAAUAAAUGUUUAACAUAGUUUAUAUGAUAGAGACAAAUGAAGAAAUCAGGAUCCACACUCACUUAUAAACUAUCAAUGUUUUUUAUAUUUUUAUUGUACAAAAAACACAAAUGGAACAUCAGGAUCAUCAGGCACAAGUCCUUCUUAAAAAAAAUAUGAAUAUGAAAAUAAAAUAUGAAUAGAGAAAUAUCA